rnacentral:lncRNA from 1 species
ACAAGGUUAGGCUGCCUCCCUUCCUGAGCACAUUUUUCCAUGUAUCACUGUGCACAUUGACAGGUAAGUCUCUGCCACUAGGCUGGGUGAGCCAUCGAGGGAGCCUUCUGGCACCUUCUGCAUCUAGCACAGUAACCGACUGGCUCGGGGCACAGGCUCACACCAGGGCCACCUUGAACCCCUUCACAAGGAGAAGGGGCAGUGCUGAGAAGGGCAAGCUGUAGCUGUGGGGACCAAGUUUGUUUGUUUGUUUUUCUUACGAAUGUUCUGAUUAAGCUAGAAACUUCCUGAAGUCAUACAAUUAAUCAGCACCAAAAUUAGAAAUUGGGCAUUUAUGGGGAUCCGUGUCUUAGUUCAGUUUCAGAAUCCAAUUUACCUCCAUAUUUUAUUUUGUUUUCACAGCUUGGAGAAAAUCCUACUUUUCAGUGCUGAGUAGAUGCAAAUGAUUAUUGUUCUGUGACAAUCUGUCUUGUGACCUCAGAGCCCUACAAUUAAUCAGACAAGUGGCAGGAGGAGCUCUGUGAUGAGAUUUCAAAAAAAAAAUGAGUUCAUGUGGUCACACAGUGUUUUAGUUGUUCAUCUGCACGGUGUUAGGACUGGCUAUCUUAUCGAUUGUAUUAAAUCACAGUGUUAUCAAUGACAAAAAAAUUUUUUUGUAUAUUAAGUUUUGAAAUGAAACAUUUCUGAAAUCCAUAAAGUAACUUCAUGGGUCUUUGGGAUCCAAAGCACAUGAUAUGAAAACACUGAAUGAGUCUACCCCUGUACACUACAGAUGAGUAAACUGAGGCCUGGAAUGUGACAAGGACAUAUCCAGGCCCCACAGAGAAUUGUUGGUGGGCUGGGAUGAGAAUUUAGGCCUUCUGCAUCCCACCCAGGCCUCCUUCAACUGUAUUCUCUAUCUCUUUUUCCUAAUUUAUGCUAGUAAAAAAGUGUUUCAUUAUUUUUAAAAAUAAGUUAGACAUUCCAUCUCUGUAGUUUGGUUUAUAGCUGAGGCCU